GAUGAACGCUGGCGGCGUGCCUAAUACAUGCAAGUCGAGCGAACAGACGAGGAGCUUGCUCCUCUGACGUUAGCGGCGGACGGGUGAGUAACACGUGGAUAACCUACCUAUAAGACUGGGAUAACUUCGGGAAACCGGAGCUAAUACCGGAUAAUAUAUUGAACCGCAUGGUUCAAUAGUGAAAGACGGUUUUGCUGUCACUUAUAGAUGGAUCCGCGCCGCAUUAGCUAGUUGGUAAGGUAACGGCUUACCAAGGCAACGAUGCGUAGCCGACCUGAGAGGAUGAUCGGCCACACUGGAACUGAGACACGGUCCAGACUCCUACGGGAGGCAGCAGUAGGGAAUAUUCCGCAAUGGGCGAAAGCCUGACGGAGCAACGCCGCGUGAGUGAUGAAGGUCUUCGGAUCGUAAAACUCUGUUAUUAGGGAAGAACAAAUGUGGAAGUAACUAUGCACGUCUUGACGGUACCUAAUCAGAAAGCCACGGCUAACUACGUG
rnacentral:rRNA from 1 species